rnacentral:rRNA from 1 species
GAACGAGAAAGUGGAGCAAUCCAUGAGUAAAGUGGCGACCGGGUGAGUAACACGUGACUAACCUGCCCUAGAGUGGGGGAUAACCUCGGGAAACCGGGGCUAAUACCGCAUAACAUCACGAGGGGAAGAUCCUUGUGAUCAAAGGAGCAAUUCGCUCAAGGAGGGGGUCGCGGCUGAUUAGCUAGUUGGUGAGGUAACGGCUCACCAAGGCGAAGAUCAGUAGCCGGCCUGAGAGGGCGCACGGCCACACUGGAACUGAAACACGGUCCAGACUCCUACGGGAGGCAGCAGUGGGGAAUUUUGCGCAAUGGGGGAAACCCUGACGCAGCAACGCCGCGUGGAGGAUGAAGUCCCUUGGGAUGUAAACUCCUUUCGAUCGGGACGAUAAUGACGGUACCGGAAGAAGAAGCACCGGCUAACUCUGUG